GGAGCGAGCGAGCUGCCCAGACCUCUGGCUGCGGGGAACUCCAGAAGCUCCAGGCUGCGAGAGCAAAUCAGCCCACUGAGGUGUGUGCGGCAGUCGGAGAGAGAGACCGAGGCCUGGGAUCGCGCAGUGACAGGGGCAGAGCGACAGCCCUGCCCUGAGCCCCAGCAAGGGGGAGAAGCAAGGCUGCCUGCUUUCCGCUGCUCCCAGGAUUGGUUUGAGACAGCGCACCAAAACGCAUACAGGGAAGUCGUGGCUGUUGGGCAGAGUCCACGGCGACUGGCAAAUGGAAACAUCACUCCGAGGAGGCCCCGGGAAACUCCAGGCCCGUCAGCCUCACCUCGGUGCCUGGGGAGUCUGUGGAGCAGAUCCCCCGCGAAGAGAUGUUCAGGCACAUGCGAGACGAGCCCUCCUCACCCUUGUGUCCUCCUGCCUCCGGUACCACGGGCACCAAGCAGCGCGGUGCAGUCGCCGUAGGAGGAGGAAGGGAUGGCAGCCAGAGAGUGGGACCGGGCAGGUUCAAUGGGGGAUUUUCUGAUAUGAAAGUGCCUUACUUUCGAUUAAAAGGAGAUCUUCCGAGAGAAAAUGCCUGACUUUCGGAUUAAGUGUGGGAUUUUGCAAGAGAAAUUGUGUGAUUCUUGGGUUAAAGGGGGGAUUUUUGAAGGGAAAAUGGAUGAUUUUUGGGUUAAGUAGGGAAUUUUGAAGAGAAAAUGCGUUAAUUUUGGUUAAAUGUGGGAUUUUCAAAGAGAAAAUGUGUGAUUUUGGGGCUAAAUGGGGGGAGUUCCGAAGAGAAAAUGAGUGAUUUUCACAUUAAAUGGGGGAUUUUCCAGGAGAAAAGUCGUAAUUUUGGGGUUAAAUGGGGGAUGUUCAAAGAGAAAACGCAUGAUUUUGGGAUUAAAUGGGGGAUUUUUGAAGAGAAAAUGUGUGAUUUUCGGUUAAAUGGUGGAUUUCUCAUGAGAAAAUGCGUGAUUUUUGGUUUAAAUGGGGGAUUUUCAAUCAAAAAUGUGUGAUUUUCGUAUUUAACAGGGAAAUAUCUAAGAGAAAAUGAGUGAUUUUCUGAUAAAUGGGGGAUUUUCGAACAGGAAAUGCCUGAAUUUUGGUUAAAAGGAGGGUUUUCAGAGAGAAAAGACACGAUUUGGAAAUUAAAUGGGGAUUUUCUGUUAAAAACAAAUGCGUGAUUUUGGGGUUAAAUGGGGGAAUUUCAAAGAGAAAAUGCAUGAUUUUCAGAUAAAUGGGGGAUUUUCCAUGAGAAAAUGUGUGAUUUUCAAGUUAAAUGGGGGGUUUUCGAAAUGCAAAUGCGUGAUUUCUUGUUUAAAUGGGGGGGUUUUCCAGGAGAAAAUGCAUGCUUUUUGGGUGAAUGGGGGAUCUUCUGAAAGAAAAUGCAUAAUUUUCGGGUUAAAUGGGGGAUUUUCGAAGAGAAAAUGCGUGAUGUUCAGUUAAAUGCGGCAUUUUCAAAGAAAAAAAUGCAUGAUAUUCGGGUUAAAUGGGGGAUUUCUGUUAAGGAAAUGAGUGAUUUUUGGGUUAAAUGGGCAGUUUUCAAACAGAAAAUGUGAUACGUCUGGGUUAAGUUGCCAAUUUACAAAGAGAAAAUGGAUGAUUUUCAGUUAAAUGGAGGGUUUUUGAAGAGAACAUGUGUGAUUUAAAUGGGGAUUUUCGAUGAGAAAAUGUGUGAUUUUCAGUAUAAGUGGGGGAUUUGUUUUUUAGGAAAAUGCGAGACGUUUGGGUUAAAUGUGGGAUUUUGCAAGAGAAAAUGCGUGCUAUUCUGUUAAAUGGGGCAUUUUUGAAGAGAAAAUGCAUGGUUUUUGCUUUAAUGGGGGAUUUUCAAACAAAAACGUGUGAUUUUUGUAUUUCAUUGGGAAUUAUCUAAGAGAAAAGGAGUGAUUUCCGGGUCAAAUGAGGAGUUUUUGUUAAGAAAAUGUGUGAUUUUUGGUUAAAUGGGGGAUUUUUGAGCAGGAAAUACAUGAUUUUCGAGUUAAAUGUGGGAUAUUUUAAGAGAAAAUAUGUGCUUUUUGGUUAAAAGGCUGAUUUUGGCAAUGAAAAUGCGUGACUUUCAGUAGGCCCCAUUGCCCCCAGUGUGCGUCCCAGCCUGACGGGACGGGGGGUGUCUUUCUAAAACAAAGAUGCCACUCAGCUUCCGAAGGUGACCUCGGAAUUAGUUUUAUUUAGCGAAGGUGCCAGGAGGUUUCACAGGAGUAGUCUGAAUUUAGCGAGAGAAGUGGGAGCGAGGCUGCCAGGGAAGCAGUCAGGCAUGGGAUGGGUGACCUGGUGGGCAACCCAGGAACGGAUCCUCCGAGAUCCUUGGCUGGUGGGAAGAGGGAGCGGGUGUCAUGUGGCCAGGAGGUAGGGAGUGAAAGGGGUUGGAGCUUGGAGAACGUUUGGGAGCUUCCGCAGCAGUUUCUGUCUGUUGGCCGUCCCUCGAGUCGAAAAUGUCGACCUGUUCCAAACCCCUCUAUCACCUCGUUGAACGUCCAGCUCUGGCCAACCGUUUCUGAACACCACGGUGGGGCCGGGCGUCCCUUCCCCCCAACCGUGCUGAGAUUCUGUGUUUUGAUGAAGAAAAGCUUGUGUGCGUCAAAGGGAGACCUGAGGCUGAAACGGGGCCGAC